rnacentral:lncRNA from 1 species
AUUAUAAUAUGAUUUAUCACUACCCAGCAUUUCAAUUAAGGAUUUCCUAUUCCUUAUGAUUCAUGUUCAAAGGUUGAGCUUUUUUCAUUUUCAAUGGCUAAUCUAACUCUUUUGUAAUAAAAUAAUCUUCUCUUUUCUACAUCAAUUGCUCAUGCAUUUUUUCAAACUCCAGUGCUUUUCACUAGAAAAAACAAGUAUAUGAACACUAGCAUAUAAGUCAGUCAGUUUCAAAGAAUAAAAUUCAAGAAACCAAUGUUUGAUAGCAAUUGUUAUGACGGAAUACCCAACCUGGUCACGAGUGGGAUAACUCUGGUUUUCCUUUGUUAUAUUCCCAAAUGCAAGAUAUGACACCAAUUAGUAUUAGGAUAAACAUUUUAGUGGACAUCAAAUAAUCCUAUAAAAACUUACGAUCUUUAAAUUCUCAUGAGCGCACAAUAUCAUAAAAAUAACAAUAAAAUUAUAAUAGAA